UGAUGACGAGACGCUAAGGCGUUGAAGCAGUGUAUGUCAUACUUCCAAGAAAAGCUCGCAAUGUCACAAAUAAGAAAUGCCUGUACCAUAACCGACACAGGUGGGUAGGUAGAGUAUACUAAGGGGCGCGAGAUAACUCUCUCUAAGGAACUCGGCAAAAUGACUCCGUAACUUCGGGAGAAGGAGUGCCUUAUUUAUAAGGUUGCAAUAACAAGAUCCAAGCAACUGUUUAUCAAAAACACAGGUCUCCGCUAAGUCGUAAGACGAUGUAUGGGGGCUGACGCCUGCCCAGUGCCAGAAGGUUAAAGAAGUUGGUUAGUGUAUGCGAAGCUGAUGACUGAAGCCCUGGUGAACGGCGGCCGUAACUAUAACGGUCCUAAGGUAGCGAAAUUCCUUGUCGGGUAAGUUCCGACCCGCACGAAAGGCGUAAUGAUUUGGAUACUGUCUCGGAGAGAGGCUCGGUGAAAUAGACUUGUCUGUGAAGAUGCGGACUACCUGCACCAGGACAGAAAGACCCUAUGAAGCUUUACUGUAACUUGAAAUUGGAAUUGGACUUUGCUUGCGCAGUAUAGGUGGCAAGCGUUGAAAAUAUUCUUGCGGGAGUAUUGGAGCUAUCAGUGAGAUACCACUCUUGUAAUGUUAGAUUUCUAACUUUGAACCAUAAUCUGGUCAAAGAACAGUUUCAGGUGGGCAGUUUGACUGGGGCGGUCGCCUCCCAAAUGGUAACGGAGGCGUACAAAGGUUUCCUCUGAACGGAUAGAAAUCGUAUCUAGAGUGUAAAGGCAUAAGGAAGCUUGACUGUGAGACCUACAAGUCGAGCAGGGACGAAAGUCGGUCUUAGUGAUCUGACGGUACUGAGUGGAAAGGCCGUCACUCAACGGAUAAAAGUUACUCUAGGAUAACAGGCUGAUCUCCCCCAAGAGUUCACAUCGACGGGGAGGUUUGGCACCUCGAUGUCGGCUCAUCGCAUCCUGGGGCGGUAGUACGUCCCAAGGGUUGGGCUGUUCGCCCAUGAAAGCGGUACGCGAGCUGGGUUCAGAACGUCGUGAGACAGUUCGGUCCAUAUCCGGUGUAGGCGCUAGAAUAUUGAGAGGAGCCUUCUUUAGUACGAGAGGACCGAGAAGGACACACCGCUGGUGUACCAGUUAUCGUGCCAACGGUAAACGCUGGGUAGCUAUGUGUGGAGUGGAUAACCGCUGAAAGCAUCUAAGUGGGAAGCCCACCUCGAGAUGAGUAUUCUC
rnacentral:rRNA from 1 species